UCCGCUAUCGUAUAGGUGGUUAGUAUACGCGGCUCUCAAGCCUGUACAUGUGAUCCCGCGGGACCAGGGUUCGAGUCCCUGUGGCGGAA
rnacentral:tRNA from 1 species